CUUGUAAUUUGGACUUGGAAAUAACGUUGGUAGUAUAUUAAUUUUCUGUUGUUAGAAUGUUAUUGUUUUAUAUUGUACGCAACGCUCAUCGCGACAGCCAUGAUGCGUACAUUUACGUAUGUACAAUGCGUGAGUGCGUAUACACGCGUGUGGAUCGAGCAGUGCGGAGUGCUCUUUAUUUAGAGUAUAUUUAUAUAUAAAUAACUGUUUGAACGCGUCGAGAUCAUGAGCAGACGCACGCUUGUCGCGACAGCCCAUCGGAAGCAGUAAUAGUUCUGGAGACUGUAGUCGCAUUAUCUUACAUACGUAUGAUGCGUGAGUGUGUCAUAUAUACGUACGUUUGUGCUUGUGCUGUCGAGCGCUUUUAAUUGUAUACAACAUUUUUAUAUGAGUAGCUGGUGAUUCAAGAUCUAUUUUUUGACCUAUAUAAGAGAGAGAUUUGCAGAAGAAAAGAAAUAUACCAAAGUAUUAAUAAGGAUCAAACAUAUUCUUGAUGUAUGUACUCGGGCCGCGAGGCUGAGCAAUAUUCUAAGGAAAGUAUUAUACAAUUGUAUCGUUUUAUAUUGUGCGCAACGCUCAUCGCGACAGCCAUGAUGUACAUGAUUAUCUUACAUACGAUGCGUGAGUACGUAUACACGUGUGUCAAUCGAGGAGUGCAGAGUGCUCUUUAUUUACAGCAUAUUUAUAUAUAAGGCAAUGAAUAUGUCUUAACAUAUGGGAUCAAUUGUUGUAUCAAAUUCAAAAAACCACCAUUUGAAAAAUUUGACCCCGGCUAAGAUAAACAUCAGUGAACAAUAUAUUAUAAGGAAAACUCUGUACAAGAUACUAGAAAUGCUAAAAGAUGAUCAAGAAGCUUUUACACAAGUCAGGCUAUUAGACAACAAUUCCUUGUAAUACAGAGAAAGACUUGGAACACUCUAUAAUGGAAUGGCUUAGAUUUGCAAACAUCCGUAAACAAAGAAAAAAAUCUUAAAAGCAACUGUUUGAUAAAGAUCCGGAAAGAUUAAUAAUCUGUUUAAAAGGAAAGAAUAAGAGUUUGGAAAAAAAUAGUAAAAGAGUUAUAUUAAACUAAAGCAUCUGUAUCGCAUUGCCUAAAGAAGAGUUAGAAGGCACCUUAAUUUCUCUUAUCCGAAAGCUGACUUCAAAAAUCCUUUCCUAGGAUUCCUUCCUAGGAUCAAUACUUUCUGAGGUAAUCGGCAGAGAUAAUUUGCAGAAAUAAUUGGCACACGAAAUAAAUCUCAUAAUAAAACCUAUAUAUGUAUAUGUA